ACACAGGAUGCUCAGUACGGCGAGUGAAGCGGCAAAAGCUCAAAUUUGAAAUCCCCCGGGAAUUGUAAUUUGAAGGUGGCCUCAGUUAGUCCAAACAUUCUUAAGUCCAUUGGAAAAUGGCGCCAUGGAGGGUGAUAGCCCCGUAAAGAUGUCGUUUGUUCUAUUUUCUCUGGCCACCAAAGAGUUCCGGAAGGUUGGUUGGGGAAUUGCAGCUCUAAGUGGGUGGUAAAUUCCAUCUAAAGCUAAAUAUUGGCGAGAGACCGAUAGCGAACAAGUACAGUGAUGGAAAGAUGAAAAGCACUUUGAAAAGAGAGUGAAAAAGUACGUGAAAUUGUUGAAAGGGAAGGGCUUGCAAGCAGACACAACCUCGUGUUGGGCCAGCAUCGGGGCGAGAGGAAGUAAAAACGAUUUGGAAAUGUAACUUUCGAGUAUUAUAGACCUUAUCCCUCCCUUCCAUCUCAUCCCGAGGCCUGCGGUAUAUCCUAGGAUGCUGGCGUAAUGGUUGCAAGUCGCCCGUCUUGAACAGGG
rnacentral:rRNA from 1 species